rnacentral:lncRNA from 1 species
UAACGCCACUGAGAUUGAGCUGGAACCCAGGCUGGAUCAGUUCAGGUCUUAGCCUUUCCCGGGAAUAGCGAAGGGAAAGAAGGGAAAGAAAGAAGGCGCACCAGGACCCCUUUCCCAGGCCACCCAGGUUUAGCAAAGCAGGUAGGAGGUGAAUUCCCAGGAACGCUGGCAAGCUAGGGCAGACAAAGGCAGCAGAGAGCCCGGAGCUGUCCGCGGUGCUGAAAGCUGACGCCAUACAAGUUCUAGCUUGGAACUCGGUGAUCCUCCUUUCCCCCUCUUUCUCCUAGUCCUCUCCUUCUUUUCUCCCUUGGUCUCAUUGAUAUUUUUUUCGUUUCAUUCCUAUUUUCCUCUCUUCAUUCCUUACUCCCCGC